rnacentral:lncRNA from 1 species
GAAGUCUCUGGCUCGUUAGAUGCUUUUAUUUUUUUUUUCUUUUUCUGGCCGUCUCCAGUUACUUUUAGCCCGACCGUUCGUUGUCCCACCCUUCUUCCGUGCUGUACUGGCGCCUGGCGGGGUUUGGGCUCGUCCUCCCCCUCCGGGCUGCGGCUGCUCUGGGCGCCGCGGUUAACCGAGAGGACCACGGCGAGGGCGGCUCUGGGCGAGGUGACACGGGAAGUGCACACCAGGUAUGGCACACAACAUCCCGGCCCGGCACAGGGGAAGGCAACAGGAGCUGUUUCCUGGCGUGGGCCACCACCAGGUCCCGCUGGGCCACCACCUGGGCUGCUCUGACUGCGGCACCAGGGGAGAUGCUGCCUCCAGCUGCAGCCCCGUGUCUGAGCCCACCUGGGUAAGUCCCCACUGCCAGGGUGACCCCGAGCUGGCCUGGCCAAGGCUCCCCCAUCCUCACCCCCUGGGCCACGGCCACCUCCCGGCACCCAUCCAGCCCCGUCACACCAUCGCACCCUGUGCCCGUGCCAGGUGCCACGAGCUCCCACGGCGGGUGACCUUGUCCCAUGCGUGCCAGGCAGGGCUGGAAGGGAAGUCAACCCCUGGCUCUUAUCACAGUGAAGUCUGGGAAUAAGUUCAAGGACAAGGGAUAAAAAUAUUGCAACCAAACACAAACCGCACACCACACCCAGGCACCUUUCCCAUCUCCACAGCCCCUGCAGCGCUCCGUGACCACCUCCCAGCCUCGGCUGACUCCAGCUCCCCACGGCGCUCCUGUGACCGCCUCCUGGCGUGGCUGCAUCGUGGAACUGCCUUUCAUCACCUCCAGCACCCCUGAAAAGCGAUGAACAAUGACUUGGCAGAGCUUGCUGAUGCUGCUGGAGUUUCUGGGUGGUUGGGCUACAGUGCUGGCUCUGGUGGCACAGGGAGGGGUGGCAGAGGUGUGGACGAGCUUUCGUGUGAAACCAGUUACUCAGCUGGGAGAGCACCCGGGCUGGGGACGUGGGGAGGGCACAGGAGGAGGCUCCUCACCAUCCCCACCUCCCCUCCCUUCCCCAGUUCCCCCCUCGUGUGCUGGGGAGCGCACAGCAGAGCACACCUGCCCUGCUCUUUCCACACAGGGUGACAGCUGGGAAGCCCAAUGGAACACACCCGGAGGAGGGAAAUCUUUGACUGUUCCUUGGGGUCAAACCUUUUACGAAGAGAAAUGUGACAGAGCUGGUGUCAGGUGUGACCUCUGGAGCUGGGGAAAAGGUGCUGGAGACCCCAGGGCUCCGUUGCUGAGCCCUCUCUUUGUGCUUUUGGGACAAACCAGGACAAUUUGCACCCCCAGGAGAUCCCAGCAGCAGCAGCAGAAGCCAAAAAGGAAACUUCUGUCCCCUGUGACAGCCUGGCUGCUGCAUGGGGGGGACAGAGACGUGCCUCGGGGGCUGGGGUGUGCUGGAAGGGGAGCUGUAAGGGAGAACAUGGGCUCUCAGAGCCGAAUUAAUUCAGUAUUUUGA